GAAGAACCCUCAAUAAUCCAGCACCAAUUGAGGGACAGCCCACACAACAGGCAGCUAGGGAUUCCAGUCAGGAGACAUCGCAGAGACCACCACCUCAGAGGUCUAUCACAGUGCCUGUGCAGGGGCCUUCAGGCAGCACUGUGCAGCAAAGCAGGGCCAGGAGUUUUCCUGGACUGUUUAAUGAAAGAACCAAUUUGAGACCCCACUUACGUUUGACAAAAAAGAGGCCCAGCAGCAAAAUGACACCUGUCCAGUUUUGCCUUUUGCAGACUGCCUUAGAAAAAACUCCCGAACUCACCGAGGA